UUUUGAUUACACGUUUCGAAAAAUAGACGAAGAUAAUCUCGUGUCGUGCCUCUUUAUAGAAUCGCUUAAUAUACACACCAUGCUGUUCAGCAGAUUUGAGACCUGAGACCACCAUCAUGACCACAAGAUAUGCCAGUUUGGCUUGUGCUGUAUUAACCAGUCAUCAGCAUCAAUCUUAUUAUCAUCGCUUGGAUACAAACAGCAUCCCCCUUGGUUGAAGAAACUACUAAUUACGGCGUUACCGGAUCUUUCACUUUCUUCAAAUCCCCUCUCUCCUUGUGUACACCCAUGUGAGUGUGGGUGUUAGACUCGGUACAAGUCUGAGCCCCAGCCUUUUCCUAUCCCGCCUGGUGGAUUCAACUCUACAUGGGAAGGAGAACUUUUGGAUGCCUGGCCGUGGAUUUCCCAGGCUUAAAGGUAGGACAAACGUUUCUCUCUAUUCUUCCUUUGGCGUUGAUUAUCAAUCGUUAAGGUGUACGAUUAUUAAUGAGCUAGGCUGUUGACUGUUUUCUCUUGCCGUUUUUGUUAACUCAGUCAGGGUUCAUUAAAUAACUCAUUCGUUAGAAGAACUCUGCACAUCAGGCCUGUACUCACAACUUACAUCUUUGGGUCGGAAAUAUUUUAACUUUAAACACUUGAAGCAAAGUGCCACUAUAGAAAGGGACGUGCCGCCACACCUCCUCGUUAUCGUCCUAAAACUUCACUUGAUCGGAUUUUUAAGUUGAAACUCUUUUAUAUAGGCCCAGACAUACAAGGCAGAGCGAGGGCGGGUCACUAUUGAGUGAGAAUGGGGCUACAGCUCGGGAUCGAUGAAAACGCAACGGGGGAGGAAAGGGACGUGUACACAAUUUCGUGUGUGACAGUCAGUUGGCUUGACAGAGAGAACGACAGCUGAGCUGAGAGAGAGUCGACAGAUUCUUCAAUUGUUGGUUGGCGAUCGAUAUUCCAUCUAGAGAUGUUCCCUUAACAUUUCCCUAUUGUUCUCUCUCUGCUCUUCCUCAUCUCCUUCCUCAUCUUUUUGUCAAAUUUGAUGAUUUUUUCCUUUUUGCUCUCUCUGCUCCGCCUCCUUGUUUGUAUCUUUUUUCCUCGACGCCUCGAUGGAUUUCUUUUUCCCAGGGCCUAGAUACUUUGCCCCCGACCCAAACGGUAGAGGCCCAUAUAUAUUUUUAGUCUAUUGAGCGAGAGAGGAAACAAAAGAACCGGAGCCUCAUACUGUCGAAAAUGAAAUAGACAAUUUUCUCCUCUCUCUUUUCUAGUUUCUUCUUUCUUCUACCCUUUUUCUUCCGUCAUCCGAACAAAAGCUCCGGGGCCUAUUAUAUAUAGAGUCGACCGUGAAUGUCGGAGUUCAAAUAAGAAGCUUAUACAAUCGCCCAGUGUGUGUACAUACACACGCUCGCUAGCAGAGAGAGAGAGAGAAAAGAGCUAUAGUAUAUACCCUGUUUUUCUUCCUUUCUUCUUCUUUUUGUUACUACAGUCAACUUAAAGAUGAAGAAGAAAAUAGUCCGGCCACUCUGGAGCUUAGAGUUUCAAGUUUCGUGGCAUCAUGUUCCACGUCCAGUCCAAAGCAAAAGAGCCCAGUCUUUUCUCCAGUUUGGCAAGUGAGAGAGAGAGAGAGAGAUACAGAAGGGUCUUCUCAAGUUACUGGACUUGGGGGGAAAACUAUCGCGUGCGCCGCCCAUGAAAAAAGACACACAGGGAGGGAGGGAGUCAAGUUGCACGGUCCGUCUUCAGUCCAGCAAUGGGGAAGGUAAACUUUUUUUUUUUUUAGAAAUGGGCAGGGCAGGGUGACUAUUAAUUCGUGAUUUCGCCUAAUGAGCGCUUAAUGGUAGUUUCUACUUACAUG